rnacentral:rRNA from 1 species
AUUGAACGCUGGCGGCAGGCCUAACACAUGCAAGUCGAGCGGCAGCACAGGAAGAUCGUGCCCCUGCGGGUGGCGAGUGGCGGACGGGUGACGCAUGCAUCGGAAACUUCUUUGACGUGGAGGAUAACGGGGGAAAAGUGCUGCUAAUAGCGGAUACUACCAACCGGAGAAAUCAGGAGUGCAUGAGGCUUUUCCUGAUUGAUUUAGCCGAAGUCGGAUUAGCUAGUUGGGUAGGUAAAGGCCCACCAAGGCAACGAUCCGUAGCCGACCUGAGAGGGUGAUCAGCCACACUGGAACUGAGACACGGUCCAGACUCCUACGGGAGGCAGCAGUAGGGAAUAUUGGGCAAUGGGCGAAAGCCUGAUCCAGCAAUGCCGCGUGGGUGAAGAAGGCCUUCGGGUUGUAAAGCCCUGUUAUUGGGGAAGAACAGAAGCGGAAUAAUACGUCGACGUUUUGACGGUACCCAAAGAAUAAGCACCGGCUAACUACGUG